GCCCGCCUAGCUCAAUCGGAUAGAGCGUCAGACUCUUACUGUAUUGAGGCGGGUAUCUGAAGGCUGCGAGUUCGACCCUCGCGGUGGGCU